rnacentral:piRNA from 1 species
UCCAAAGACCUACCACCAUGUUCAAUCGGA